GAUGAACGCUGGCGGCGUGCCUAAUACAUGCAAGUCGAGCGAACAGACGAGGAGCUUGCUGCUCGGACGAUAGCGGAGGACGGGUGAGUAACACGUGGAUAACCUACCUAUAAGACUGGGAUAACCACGGGAAACCGGAGCUAAUACCGGAUAAGAUAUUGAACCGCAGGGUUCAAUAGUGAAAGACGGCUUUGCUGUCACGUAUAGAGGGAUCCGCGCCGCAUUAGCUAGUUGGUAGGGUAACGGCUUACCAAGGCAACGAUGCGUAGCCGACCUGUGAGGCUGAUCGGCCACACGGGAACGUGGACACGGUCCAUACUCCUACGGGAGGCCGCAGUCGGGAAUGUUCCGCAACGGUCGAAAGCCUGGCGCAGCGACGCCGCGUGAGUUAUGAAGGUCUUCCGUUCGUAAAGCUCUGUUAUUGGGUAAGAACAAAUGUGUAAGUAGCUAUGCACGUCUUGACGGUACCUAAUCAGAAAGCCCCGGCUAACUACGUG
rnacentral:rRNA from 1 species